rnacentral:misc_RNA from 1 species
GAUGAAGAACGCAGCGAAAUGCGAUACUUGGUGUGAAUUGCAGAAUCCCGUGAACCAUCGAGUCUUUGAACGCAAGUUGCGCCCGAAGCCACUAGGCCGAGGGCACGCCUGCCUGGGCGUCACACGCCGUUGCCCCCCCAUCUACUCCUUCGGGAUUGCGGGGGGGCGGAUGAUGGCCUCCCGUGCGCCUAGCCGCGCGGUUGGCAUAAAUACCAAGUCCUCGGCGACGCACGCCACAACAAUCGGUGGUUGCGAAACCUCGGUUGCCCGUCGUGUGCGUUCGUCGCGCAUCGAGGGCUCGAAAAAAUGCUCGGCUCCGGCUGGGCUUUCAACGCGACCCCAGGUCAGGCGGGGUUACCCGCUGAAUUUAAGCAUAUCAAUAAGCGGAGGA